UGCACAUUUGACGUUACCUACAGAAGAAGACACCGGCUAACUCCGUGCCAGCAGCCGCGGUAAUACGGAGGGUGCGAGCGUUAAUCGGAAUUACUGGGCGUAAAGACGCAUGCAGGCGGCCUGUUAAGUCAGAUGUGAAAGACCCGGGGCGUUAACCUCGGAAUUGCAUUUGAAACUAGACAGGCUAGAGUCUUGUAGAGGGGGGUAGGAAUUUCAGGUGUAGCGGUGAAAUAGCGUAGAGAUCUGAAGGAAUACCAGUGGCGAAGGCGGCCCCCCUCGGACAAAGACUGACGCUCAGAUGCGAAAGCGUGGGGAGCAAACAGGAUUAGAUACCCUGGUAG
rnacentral:rRNA from 1 species